CGGGGCGUAGCUCAGUUGGUAGAGCGCGUGGUUCGGGACCACGAGGCCGCUGGUUCGAGUCCAGUCGCUCCGACCA
rnacentral:tRNA from 3 species